CACACACACAUGUCUCACAGCAAGGUCGAUUGUCAUCACAAUGGAUUAAUGUCUGAGGAGCUGCAGGGAAAAGACAACGGAGCUGGCUACACUUACCGCUCUGUCAGAGCAAGUCCGGAAGAGAGAGAGAAAAGGGAAAAGAGAGCGAGAAAGAGGGAGGAAUGCACAGCACAGGACAUGGGUGACUAACUAAACCCACUCAAACAGAACGAGAACCUUGGCUGAUCUUUACAAUAAUCAGUGAGAGCAAGGGAAUGCGAAGCCAGGGCCAGGAGGAACCUUCUCUGUUCUCCUGUCUCUUCUCCACUUCCCUAAAAGCAACCAAGGGCCAUUUGUCAAGGGGGAAAUGAUUCAGGAGGAAGUGGGAAUUGAGGAGAUGAGGUCUGGAGAGUCUGGAGAUUCUCACGCUUCAGGUAGAAACUUCUACCUAUUCUGAUUGGCACAGUUGACGUUGGGUUUUGAGAACUUUAGCUCUGAAUAUAAAUGGGGAAGCUUAAGACAGCCAAAAAAGAGGAAUCUAAUAUCUUUAAGUAUCUUUAAGUGAAUCAGGCGAUACAAAUUGUGACAAUGCACAUAUUAUCAUCAGACAGAAUGAAAGGGAGUGAGUGAGAUUGAAACAGAGAAUGAAAAAGAGAGUAAGACAGAGUGAGUGAAAGUAAGAUGAAGAGAAAGAAAGUGUUAAAGAGAGAGAGAAGUUGAAGAGAGUCAGAGAGAGAGACCAGUUAUAUGGACUUCAGACUCCCACAGGCAUAGAAUCACAAACAGACUCACAGACAGAGACUGAAAGAGACUCACAGGCAGAUACUCACUGGCUGUACUCACAGGCAGAGACUCACAGGAAGAGACUCACAGACACACAGAGACUGAAAGAGACUCACAGGCAAGAGACUCAGACACACAGACAGACUCACAGACAGAGCCUGAAUCCCCCCCCUGGAACCUCAUGGCUACUACACCUAUCACAUGCUGCCCAAUUAACAGUCCACAAACAGAACCAAACUAACCAGAAAGACACAUAGAUUAGACAUGCUUUGACAAUUAGUCCUAUAUCUGGAGCUACAUCUAUUCAGAAUCUAGACUUAGUCACCCCACCCCAUCAAAAGAAUACCAUAUCUUCAUAUUUCCCAAAUUAAAAGAAGUACAGCCAACACUCAAUUCCAUCUGGAAUGAAUGACCCCUAUAAGAAUGGUUCUAUCUGACCUACAAAGUCCCCAACCUCUACCUGCUUAUCCCUCCCUCAUCUGUCUUUAGUGCAACAACUCCUGCUGACCUCUGACCUCUGCUGGCCUCUGACCUCUGUGUUCCCAUCUCCAUUAGAGGGCUUUAAUACAUGGAUGGUGCUUCUGCUGCUCUGGCCUUCCUGGGGCUUAGGCUACUGUGCAUUUUGAAUAUUAUGUGUGGAGAGAGAUGGUGCUUUGCAUUCAGACUUAUUGCACUGCCAUACAUUGUGUUUGGACACAAUGAUUGGGGGAGCGGGGGAUUGGGGUGGGAGAGAAGGAGACAAGUAACACACACACACACUUAAAAGUAUAUACAUCUGUCAUUUUUGUUUCUCGGGCGACGCAUAUGUUAACUAUGUGCCCCCUGUCGUCUGGUGUUCGAGUACAGUAUCGUGUGCAGUGUCGCAAAUAAACAUGCACACAGACACCCACAACCACCUAAAGGCAUUAAGUUGCAAGGUGGUCCGGUGGAGUCUUGCGCAUAACAGCAGUGUGUUUAGUCAGCCUUUAAACAAUAUGCCAGGCCACAGGAGAGGUCAGUCACACCAGCGUAAUGCAUGCUGGCGCAACAACACCCUCCAAAGGACACUAUGGGAACUACAUCCAGCUUGUCCACAAAUGUAUAUUUUCUUCUGUCAUUUUAAGCCUUUCAAAAUAUGUAAAAACAAUGGAUGACAGUAGUCGUCUUUCAUCAAUAGUCACAAAAAAAUGUUGGUCUUCUGUGCAUCUGUUACUAAGUUUAAUUCUGCGAUAAGUGUGGGUUCAAAUCUUGAUCAUGUUAUAAAGACAUCAAUGAAAGACAACUCUCAAGGCACUCAUAGCAAAACUACAUCUCUUAGUGUGUGUAGAUUGCCUUUUAACAGGCUAAUAAUAACUAAACAUCUUUUAAAUUAGCAUGCCCUUGCAAAGCUUGACAUUCAGAUUAAUUUGCCAGUGGCACAUCAGGCCAGUGCCAACUGAAAGCUACUGGCCCGAAUGAAAAGAAUACUGGUCUAGGAAAACCUAUAUCCAAUAAUGACCUACCCUCUAUACACAAAUAACUACAUUUUAACUUGACAAUAUCAUAUUUACAUUGGAGGGAUAAAAUAAAACAAAACAAUCCAUCUCAAAAAGGGUGUUAUUGUUUCGAACAGUCAAGUUACAGCUGUAAGGCCCUUUAAAAUCUGUUUUAUCUUUGGGUAAAUUCAGUUUUCAGAAAUACAUUCUUUCCAAUUUCCUCGUUUUCCUCGUAUUUCAGGUUUUCACUCUCUGUAGAAAAACAACCAUGCUUAAACCAUGCCAGGAGACCACAUUUGAGGCCUGGGAACAAUAAAAUAAAAAACAUUUGGAGGGUGCAGUUAUCCUUUAAUUUAAUUUCACCUAGCAAGAGACCAAGCUACAUGUGAUGGCAGAGUUUGCAAAACAAAUGUCCCGCAAUUGAUACAAAUCAUCAUCAUAUAAUUUUGCCAGGUAGGCCUAUAAUUGGGAAGGCUUUUUGGGAAAGCCUUAAGAAAUGUUCAUAGAAAUUGAUGAUUGAUUUGAAUUGAUGAUUGAAUUGCACCUCGCAAAGAUUCAACCAAGACUUCGGACCAAACUUUUUCAAUACCUGGUCUACAUGUAACAGUAUAACUUUAGACCAUCCCCUCGCCCAUACCCAGGCACAAACCAGGGACCCUC